rnacentral:sRNA from 2 species
UUCGCCGUCAUUGGGGAGUAGCCGGUUUCUGAACGUCAGGAUCAGAAAUGCUCGUAUCAACAUACUCGUUUUAUCUACUAAAACGUGGUGCGGGCGGCCAGUUGGCAGGCGAGACCAUAGACACGGCGACCAUCAUCUGGUUGGGGAUGAUCGCCGUGGAUAUGGAGAACCACCCAGCCGAGGCU